rnacentral:rRNA from 1 species
AACGAACGCUGGCGGCAGGCUUAACACAUGCAAGUCGAACGCAUCGCAAGAUGAGUGGCAGACGGGUGAGUAACGCGUGGGAAUCUACCCAGUUCUACGGAACAACAGUUGGAAACGACUGCUAAUACCGUAUACGCCCUACGGGGGAAAGAUUUAUCGGAAUUGGAUGAGCCCGCGUAAGAUUAGCUAGUUGGUGGGGUAAUGGCCUACCAAGGCGACGAUCUUUAGCUGGUCUGAGAGGAUGAUCAGCCACACUGGGACUGAGACACGGCCCAGACUCCUACGGGAGGCAGCAGUGGGGAAUAUUGGACAAUGGGCGCAAGCCUGAUCCAGCCAUGCCGCGUGAGUGAUGAAGGCCUUAGGGUUGUAAAGCUCUUUCACCGAUGAAGAUAAUGACGGUAGUCGGAGAAGAAGCCCCGGCUAACUUCGUGCCAGCAGCCGCAGUAAGAC